AUAACAAUACAGGACUCUUAGAGGCCCUGUAAUUGUAAUGAGUCCACUUGAAAUCCUUUAACUCUGAUCAAUUGGAGGGCAAGUCUGGUGCAGAGUGACUGCAGCUGAAA